rnacentral:lncRNA from 1 species
UAUAGAGAUAGUUAGAGUUAUACAAAUUAUUACAAAUAUAAAAUAAUAGAGAUUAAAUAAUAUACAAAAACAUAAAUUGAAUAAAAUUAAUUCGUCUAUCAUUUCCUUCCCAUGACGACUCUUCAUAUCUUGAAUAAGCUAAAGUACCCUGUUCAACAUCAUAGGGGAAUACAAAUAUAAAUGCAAAAUACAAAGCAACUUUUAAAAGGAGAUUAUAGUAUUGAAACAAAUAACCGCACACAUACUCAUAUUUUCUAGCAACAAAGUUUAUACAACAAAUAAUAACAGAUAACAAUAUCACAAAAGGAGAGGGACGAGAACUAACCCAUAUGCUUCCUUUAUUUGUUAUAACCAUUGAAUUUGCAACAUAAAUAAUACUAAUGAGAAAAGAUAGUUGCAUUGAUCAAAGAAAACUAACCAGUCAAGCAAAACAAUUAUUCAACAAACAAACUUCAAUCCGAAUUGAAUUAGAGUAGUCCACCGAAACACAAGAGUUUCUUCAAUAUAUGAACAACUAAUCUUUCUUUUUUGAAGAGUAUUAUAGAGUAUUUUUUGUUCCAAGUAUUAAAAGCAUGAAGGUCAGUCUCAAAUUGAUAGAGUGUAAGGUGUAUAUCAAGUGUUGGAGUGUUCAAGUGUGUGUUCGUGAGCCUGAGAGAGUAAACAUGAAUGUGUCAUUUGUUUAUAUAGGGAAUAUGGGGGCAUUACGAGAAAGGGAAUAGAAUAAUUUAAGCAAUUUGACAAUUUAUUUCCUUAACCAAAAAAAAUAAGAAUCAGCAAAAUUAUUUACCUUAACCGGAUGGCUUUACCAAAAAUAAACAAGUAGAAGAUGAUUAGAUCCUAAUUAACCCAGGAAAAUCAAUUAAGGAAGUUACUAUGCUGAUAAUAUAUAAAUUAGUGAAAGAAAUAAUUAACUAAGGAAGGGAAACUUUUUUUCAAUUAUGCACUACACUCUUUAAAUAAGAGUAAAACUACGGAGGAUCAAUUUACAACACUAAUUUCUUUAAACGGAGGGAGUAAAUCAGCCUAACAUUUAUUAACUUUACAAAAAUAUAAGAAAUCUGUCCGCUUUAAUUAAGGUAAACAAGCAAAGAAGGAAAAAAUUUAAGACAACCGUAGAUUGAAUCAAUCAACCAAACACAAUCAUACAACUUCAAAAUUUAUUACAAUUAGCCAAAAAUAAAGGUUGACAAGCCAUUGGAAUAUGUCAAGAUGCAUACUUAAUCAACUAUGGUGAUUAUUGUCAAAUCAAUCCCAAUGGAUGAUAAUAUAUAUAUAAGCAAUUCUAAAAAAAACGGUGAUUUCAAUUAAUUAAUUAAAACUAUUACUACCAUAUGCAAUCAAAUGCUAAAUUUCAAAAGUAUAUCAACAUCAAAGUCACACUCAGCCAACUUAAGGAGAGCUGGAAGUAUAACAUGCUAUUUCAACACAACUACAAAUACAAAUACUUUCAGAAUUCAGAAAAUCCUCAAGAACAGUCCAUAAGAUCAAGCAAAUCCCGAUUUAUCUUAUGCUUAAAACAAGAACAUGAUUCUAACGAUAACGAUACUAUAGAAUUCCGUAUAGAGCAGUCAUGUAAUGAUAGAUUAAUGAUCAUAAUAGGCAAUUUAAGAGAAUAUUAAAACGAAAACGAACCCACACAGAUCUGUUUAGAUCUGUUUUCUCAGACGACCAGGACCUCGAGCUGACCUCGCCGGAGUUGCUGUUGUUGUCGUCGAUGCUCGCUGAGGAACUCUCGCCGGAGCUGCUGUUGAUUCCGGUCGGAGUGCUGCCAGCUGCUGGAGUUGCUGUCCGUCUGCUGAUGUUGCUGGUGCUGCCUGUCCGCCUGGGCUGGCUGUUGCUGCUGGCGGAGCCUGCUGCGUCGUCUCGCCAGGCUGCUGGUUGCUCUGGCCGAGCUGCUGGAUG